rnacentral:rRNA from 1 species
UACGGAGGGUGCGAGCGUUAUUCGGAUUUAUUGGGCGUAAAGGGCGCGUAGGCGGCUUUUUAAGUCAGAUGUGAAAGCCCGGGGCUUAACCCCGGAAGUGCAUUUGAAACUGAGAGGCUUGAGUAUGGGAGAGGGAAGUGGAAUUCCUGGUGUAGAGGUGAAAUUCGUAGAUAUCAGGAGGAACACCGGUGGCGAAGGCGACUUCCUGGACCAAUACUGACGCUGAGGCGCGAAGGCGUGGGGAGCAAACAGG